rnacentral:rRNA from 1 species
GCAAGUCGAACGAGAAAGUGGAGCAAUCCAUGAGUACAGUGGCGUACGGGUGAGUAACACGUGACUAACCUACCCUCGAGUGGGGAAUAACUUCGGGAAACCGAGGCUAAUACCGCAUAAUGUCUAUGGACCAAAUGCGCAAGCAGCUUGAGGAGGGGGUCGCGGCUGAUUAGCUUGUUGGCGGGGUAACGGCCCACCAAGGCAAUGAUCAGUAGCCGGCCUGAGAGGGCGCACGGCCACACUGGAACUGAAACACGGUCCAGACUCCUACGGGAGGCAGCAGUGGGGAAUUUUGCGCAAUGGGGGAAACCCUGACGCAGCAACGCCGCGUGGAGGAUGAAGCCCCUUGGGGUGUAAACUCCUUUCGAUCGGGACGAUUAUGACGGUACCGGAUGAAGAAGCACCGGCUAACUCUGUGCCAGCAGCCGCGGUAAUACAGAGGGUGCAAGCGUUGUUCGGGAUUAUUGGGCGUAAAGGGUGCGUANGCGGUGCGGUAAGUCUUCUGUGAAACCUCCGGGCUUAACUCGGAGCCUGCAGGGGAAACUGCCGUGCUGGAGUAUGGGAGAGGUGAGUGCAAUUCCCGGUGUAGCGGUGAAAUGCGU